UACGGAGGGUGCAAGCGUUAUCCGGAUUCACUGGGUUUAAAGGGAGCGUAGGUGGGCUGGUAAGUCAGUGGUGAAAUCCCCGAGCUUAACUUGGGAACUGCCAUUGAUACUAUUAGUCUUGAAUACUGUGGAGGUCAGCGGAAUAUGUCAUGUAGCGGUGAAAUGCUUAGAUAUGACAUAGAACACCAAUUGCGAAGGCAGCUGGCUACACAAAUAUUGACACUGAGGCUCGAGAGCGUGGGGAUCAAACAGG
rnacentral:rRNA from 1 species